GAUGAACGCUGGCGGCGUGCUUAACACAUGCAAGUCGAACGGGAAACAUUUUAUUGAAGCUUCGGCGGAUUUAGCUUGUUUCUAGUGGCGGACGGGUGAGUAACGCGUGGGUAACCUGCCUUAUACCGGGGGAUAACAGCCAGAAAUGGCUGCUAAUACCGCAUAAGCGCACGCAACCGCAUGGCCCCGUGGGACAAACUCCGGGUGUAUAAGAUGGGCGCGAGUUGGAUUAGGUGGUUGGCAGGGCAGCGGCCUACCAAGGCGACGGUCCAUAGCCGGCCUGAGAGGGUGAACGGCCACAUUGGGACUGAGAAACGGCCCAGACUCCUACGGGAGGCAGCAGUGGGGAAUAUUGCACAAUGGGGGAAACCCUGAUGCAGCGACGCCGCGUGAAGGAAGAAGUAUCUCGGUAUGUAAACUUCUAUCAGCAGGGAAGAUAAUGACGGUACCUGACUAAGAAGCCCCGGCUAACUACGUGCCAGCCGCCGCCGUAA
rnacentral:rRNA from 1 species